UACAGAGGUCUAAGCGUUGUUCGGAUUCAUUGGGCGUAAAGGGUGCGUAGGCGGCGCGGUAAGUCGGGUGUGAAAUCUCGGAGCUUAACUCCGAAACUGCAUUCGAUACUGCCGUGCUUGAGGACUGGAGAGGAGACUGGAAUUUACGGUGUAGCGGUGAAAUGCGUAGAUAUCGUAAGGAAGACCAGUGGCGAAGGCGGGUCUCUGGACAGUUCCUGACGCUGAGGCACGAAGGCCAGGGGAGCAAACGGG
rnacentral:rRNA from 1 species